AACGAACGCUGGCGGCAUGCCUAACACAUGCAAGUCGAACGAGACCUCCGGGUCUAGUGGCGCACGGGUGCGUAACGCGUGGGAACCUGCCCUUAGGUUCGGAAUAACUCCCCGAAAGGGGUGCUAAUACCGGAUAAUGUCUUCGGACCAAAGAUUUAUCGCCUUUGGAUGGGCCCGCGUUGGAUUAGCCAGUUGGUAGGGUAAAAGCCUACCAAGGCGUCGAUCCAUAGCUGGUCUGAGAGGAUGAUCAGCCACACUGGGACUGGGACACGGCCCAGACGCGUGCGAGAGGCAGCAAUGGGGAAUAUGGGACAAUGGGCGAGAGCCUGAUCCAGCAGUGCCGCGUGAGUGAUGAAGGCCUUAGGGUUGUAAAGCUCUUUUACCCGGGAUGAUAAUGACAGUACCGGGAGAAUAAGCUCCGGCUAACUCCGU
rnacentral:rRNA from 1 species